CCCUUCUAGUUGCUAGAGGGGAUGCUGUCCCAUUCAUGACUCAUUUAAUAAAGCCAAAUAGGUCUUCAAAUUUAUUCAAUUGGAUUUAACUUUUAUCACAGAUUUGGUGGCAACAUCAGGAUCUGAAGUGAACUUCUGACGGCAUUCAGGGAAAACAAGAAACACAGGUGUGGUGCCCUGUGAACUCUUUUGAGUUCACAGUCUUUGUCAGGGUGUCCAAGGGCCCUUGGUUAAAGAAGCCUCCCCAGAUCCCAGUUCAAAGAAUCCUGUGGUUUCAGUCUAGAACCUGGUGACUGGGUAUUCUGGAAGUGUCAUCAGCCCUUGAGCUCCAUUGGAAGAGACCUUACCAAAAACUCCUGACCCCUAACAUUGCUACAAAACUAGAAGACACUGAGCCUUGGAUAAACAUCUCUCAGCUAAAGAAGGCUCCACUUGACAUCUGGACCUGUACAGAUGCUGGAAAUCUCCAAUUCAAACUGACAGGGAAGAGAAGAAGGUGAUAUUGAGGAAUGUGAUGACCCCUGGGCAGAGGGUCUAUGCUGAUAGCCAUCAUCAAUGACAACUGAAAGAUCAAGAUAUUGGGCAUUGCUCCAGUCUCUGAUGCAUAUCAAGUAAAACAAAAGACUGCCAGGAACUAAGACCAGAUGGAUGCUCCCACUCUGAGACCAGCUGCCUCCACCCAGUAAUCAGGUGGAUGCCCCCACCUUGAGACCAGAUGCUUCCCCCACUUAGAAACCAGCCCUCUAUAUAACUGGCCUGUAGUGUUUGUUCUAGAAGAUGGGUUUUUUUUGUACAUGAGUCGGCCAUCUUCCCUCUUGAUAGCAAGCUGUAAUAAAGCUCUCUCUCUCCUACCACCUUGCCUCUUGACUAUUGGCAUGUCUUGUGGUGGGAAGAUGAAUCCCCUUUUUGGGCAGUAACACUUGUAUGUAGUUUAAAAGGUUACAAGCAUUUUUGCAUAUUCUAUCCUUUUUAAUAUUUAAUUUUGUGACUUAGGAUCUGUGUUUACUCUAUUUUGAGAAAGAAUGUCCACAAAACUCAUUGCUAGAUUGGUAAAUUCUAAAUGCACUUUAAUUCUCAUAAAGGAAGAAGCUGAGGCUCAGAGAAAAGGGUCAGUCAGUCAGUGAGGAAGCUGGUCUCCAUUCCAGGUACCAUCCAGUGCUUUCCAUGGUACUACACAUCCUUCCCUGCCCUUUUACUCAUGCCUUUGAAUGGGGAAAUGGCAUCAGAGUCCCCAAAGGAGGAGUGAAUAAAUUAAAAUAACAGCAGAGAUCAAGAUCUGAGGCCCUAGGGAGAUGCAGCUCACUGAAUCUGACUCACUUGAAGGUGCCAAAACUGGUCUAUUGUAUUGAACAUAAUACACAAUGGGAAAGUGGCAUUGCGACACAGAGAGUGCCUUUUCUCCAGCUAGGAGGGAAUAAAUUAAUACAUUCAGUUUCAAAUAUCUGCCCCUAAGUCAAGUUUGAGUCUUUGUGGAAAUGAAAAAGAAGAUAAUAUGUGAACUGUAUUGUUGAACCACUAAAUGUAGCAUAACAUAGGUAUUAAGAUCCUACAUUCUGGAGCCAGAGGGUCUGGGUUUGAAUCCCAGUCCAUAACUUGUUAGCUUUGUGACUAAUUUUUCCGAUCAUCAAUUCUGAUUUGUUGAGAUUUUUCCCCACACCACCAAGCAAUUCUCUGACACCAGUUGGGUGUCCUAAAAUUUGAGUAAGUUUUGACACUAUCUACCCAGAGAUAGCCUCAGAUUCAACAGG